GAUGAAGAACGUAGCGAAAUGCGAUAAGUAGUGUGAAUUGCAGAAUUCCGUGAAUCAUCGAAUCUUUGAACGCACAUUGCGCCUCUAGGUAUUCCUGGAGGCACGCCUGUUCGAGCGCCAUUACACACUCCAAGCUCUGCUUGAUGUUGGACGACCCGAGAGAUCGGACGUCUGGAACGUGUGGGCGUCGGGCGUCGGACCACGAGCGUAGCAAGACCAUCAAACAGUCAAGUCGUUCUGUGGAGCCGGCGGUCGACCGCCUCUUUUUACAACUUUAACCACAAGUUUGGCCUCGGAUCAGGCGGGGAUACCCGCUGAACUUAAGCAUAUCAAUAAGCGGAGGA
rnacentral:misc_RNA from 1 species